rnacentral:lncRNA from 1 species
ACCAUGCCGUAGCUUCCCUUCCACCUCCCCCCAGCUACAUCCCCCACGUAGCCCAGGCCAGCCAUUGUCAGAAAGAACCAGAGCUGGGCCGCACAGCCAGCCAAAGCUCCAUCUUGCCAAGAUGACGAAAACGAGUUCCCAAGAGGGAGAGUGAUUGCCAGAGGUCACAGACGUUUGGCGGCAAGAACCUGGUUUGAGGGCUCAGGGCUCCAUAGCGAGUCCCUCUAAUCGGACUGCACCUCCUCCGCUUGUGACCACCGCCCCCAACAGAGACGACGUGCAAGCUUCAUUUAAUGAAAGAAGUUCCAUCCGACUUUAAGGACACUUGCCAAGAAGAAAUACAGAUAUGUGCCUAGAGAGAGAAACAGAACAGGUCCUUGCAUUUCACUCCACUCACUCAUAACCCCUCUAGGAUGUGUGUGAAUUUAACCACAGAUUGUAUGCAAAUAUGGUUUUAUUGAUUUCCGAGUUGGUGUGUGGAGGUGUUACUCAGAUGAGCUGGUGUGCAGGCUCCUUGCUGGGGUUUCUGCGGUCCGCAACCCAGGGUGUAUUAACAGCCGGGCUCUAACAAACUAGGAGCCCAGUCUCAACAAGUGGGUAUGGGUUUCAAGACUAGGUUGGAUCAUGUUUGCCCUUCACAGAGAAUGCAGCAUCCUUACAACUUGCAUGUGGUCAACCUUUUUUGUAAAUGAUCAAUAAAAUCUGUUAACCAAAAGCCAACCUGACCUCCAGCUCCCUGCCUUUUUUUAAAAAAAAAUUCUGCCACUCCUGCAGCAUGCAGGAUCUUAGUUUCCCAGCCAGAGAUCACACCUGUGCCCCUGCACAAGAACAGAGAGUCUUAAACACUAGACCACCAGGGAGGUCCCUCUGGAUCCCUGUCCAACAUCAGUGUUAGCUGACUUGUAGAGGCCAAUCUUCCUGAUAGCCAAGAUCAGGGCUGCCCCUUGGUUCUUUUACCGGGUCCAUCCCCCAACCCCCAGACCUGACUGUAGGAGGCUGCAAAAGUUUUUCCAAAUUGCCAUGCAUACAUCUCCAACAGCAACGCAUUUGUGGGGCUUGUCUACCUGAGUAGAUCCUGGCCUGGAUGGGGCUUUUCUCUCAAGCAGGACAAGCCCCAGCUGGGCUGCCUGGGGAGGAAUAGGGUCUGGAGCUAGCACUAAUUAUCCAAGCCCAGCUCAGAGAGGGCAGGUGUGGGCAUGGAAGCCCACACAUGGAAUCAGUGUCGUCUCUGGGACAGUGGCCCUGGGCUGGAAGCCCAG